ACCAAUACUUUUGUGUUAUUUGUAGUUUGUUUGUGAUCUGGCAUAUUUUUUAGUUGUACCCUUCUGGUGUUGAAAGUAGGAAAUUACCUUCCCUCUGUACACUGGAAUUAUGAAUUUCCCACUUAUUUUGUGAAACUUUCUGUAAAACAAUUUGCAACUUCUGUUUCCUUGUGCAUGUUUUAAAUAUGAUUCUUUUAAUAACUGGAUACAAUGAAAUUUUCUUCUUCCUCCUCCCCCUCUUCUACCACUACCAUCAACACCCACCACC
rnacentral:lncRNA from 1 species